rnacentral:rRNA from 1 species
GAUGAACGCUAGCUACAGGCUUAACACAUGCAAGUCGAGGGGCAGCAUGGUCUUAGCUUGCUAAGGCCGAUGGCGACCGGCGCACGGGUGAGUAACGCGUAUCCAACCUGCCUUACACUCUUGGACAGCCUUCUGAAAGGGAGAUUAAUACAAGAUGUUAUCAUGAGUAAGCAUUUUCGCAUGAUUAAAGGUUUACCGGUGUAAGAUGGGGAUGCGUUCCAUUAGGCAGUUGGCGGGGUAACGGCCCACCAAACCGACGAUGGAUAGGGGUUCUGAGAGGAAGGUCCCCCACAUUGGUACUGAGACACGGACCAA